AUAUACACGUUGAAAAAGAAGAGUAAUUUAUAAAUCGAUCAAAGAGAGAUGAUGUUUGGUGUAAAUCAUUAUUGAUUUAGAAUGAAGGGAGCUUUUGAGUGUAACGUCUAUUAAAGAAGAAAGAUGGGCUUGAGCCAAGAAGGGUGGAACCGCGGAAUUUAAAUUUCGUCCCUUUG
rnacentral:ncRNA from 1 species